UACGUAGGGUGCAAGCGUUGUCCGGAAUUAUUGGGCGUAAAGAGCUCGUAGGCGGUCUGUCGCGUCUGCUGUGAAAACUCGGGGCUUAACCCCGGGCCUGCAGUGGGUACGGGCAGACUAGAGUGCGGUAGGGGAGACUGGAAUUCCUGGUGUAGCGGUGGAAUGCGCAGAUAUCAGGAGGAACACCGGUGGCGAAGGCGGGUCUCUGGGCCGUUACUGACGCUGAGGAGCGAAAGCGUGGGGAGCGAACAGG
rnacentral:rRNA from 1 species